ensembl:lncRNA
GAGAGAGAGAGAGAGAGAGACAGAGAGAGAGAGAGAGGAAGAGAGAGAGAGAGAGGGACAGAGAGAGUGAGUGAGAGAGAGAGACAGAGAGAGAGACAGGAGAGAGAAGAGAGUGAGAUUGAGUGGGAGAGAGAGAGGGACAGAGAGACUGGUGAGAGAGAGAGACAGAGAGAGAAGAGACAGAGAGAGAGAGAAGGGGAGAUGAAGGAGGACAACAGUUUCAGUGUGAUCUUUGCUCCAGUCGUUAAACAGAAUCACAACUUAUUGAUCUGUUUAUCUUUUAUUACUAAUUACAUGUCUCCCCCCCCUCUCCUAUCGAUUAGCUCUUUAGAUUCCUGCAGCUAGAUAAGGGUCAGCACAUCGACAGGUAAGAGGACGACAGGUGAAGUGGCACCUCGACACUGAGGUCAGUUUAGAGUUGGAGCUGAAGACUCUACGCUGAUCCUAGAUCUGUGCCUAAAGGGAAACGUCUAAAUUACAUUCAGCCCCACUGCUGGUGCUCUCCCACUGAGGCAUAGCAGGGAAAAACAACCUACCCACUGAUUCAGACUCUCUGAUGGUUGAGGACAGGACUGGGGGGGGGUUUAGUAACCUAAUCCUAUCAGGACUGGGAGAGGGGGUUUAGUAACCUAAUCCUAUCAGGACUGGGAGGGGGGGGGGUUUAGUAACCUAAUCCUAUCAGGACUGGGAGGGUG